rnacentral:rRNA from 1 species
UACGGAGGGUGCAAGCGUUAUCCGGAUUCACUGGGUUUAAAGGGUGUGUAGGCGGGCUGUUAAGUCAGUGGUGAAAUCUCCGGGCUCAACCCGGAAACUGCCGUUGAUACUAAUAGUCUUGAAUCUUGUUGAGGUAGGCGGAAUAUAUCAUGUAGCGGUGAAAUGCAUAGAUAUGAUAUAGAACACCGAUUGCGAAGGCAGCUUACUAAACAAGCAUUGACGCUGAGGCACGAAAGCGUGGGGAUCAAACAGGAUUAGAUACCCCCGUAGUCC